UAAGUUGUGGUUCUACUGUUUCAUUGUGAA
rnacentral:piRNA from 1 species